GGGUGAGUAACACGUAGAUAAUCUAUCCUAUACUGGGGGAUAGCCCGAUGAAAGUUGGAUUAAUACCGCAUAUAGCUAUAUAGUUGCAUGAUUAUGUAGUGAAAGAUUUAUUGGUAUAGGAGGAGUCUGCGGCACAUUAGCUAGUAGGUGAGGUAAAGGCUUACCUAGGCGACGAUGUGUAGCCGGUCUGAGAGGAUGAACGGCCACAAUGGAACUGAGACACGGUCCAUACUCCUACGGGAGGCAGCAGUGGGGAAUAUUGCACAAUGGGGGAAACCCUGAUGCAGCAACGCCGCGUGAGUGAAGAAGGUUUUCGGAUUGUAAAGCUCUGUUAGCAGGGAAGAGGAAGGACGGUACCUGCAGAGGAAGCCACGGCUAACUACGUGCCAGCAGCCGCGGUAAUACGUAGGUGGCAAGCGUUGUUCGGAAUAACUGGGCGUAAAGGAUGCGUAGGCGGUUAAACAAGUUAUAUGUUAAAUAUAUAGGCUUAACCUGUAGAAAGCAUAUAAAACUGUUUAACUAGAGUGCAGGAGAGGUAAGUGGAAUUCCUAGUGUAGCGGUGAAAUGCGUAGAGAUUAGGAAAAACACCAGUGGCGAAGGCGACUUACUGGACUGUAACUGACGCUGAGGCAUGAGAGCAUGGGGAGCAAACAGGAUUAGAUACCCUGGUAGUCCAUGCUGUAAACGAU
rnacentral:rRNA from 1 species